GAUGAACGCUGGCGGCGUGCCUAAUACAUGCAAGUCGAGCGAACAGACGAGGAGCUUGCUCCUCUGACGUUAGCGGCGGACGGGUGAGUAACACGUGGAUAACCUACCUAUAAGACUGGGAUAACUUCGGGAAACCGGAGCUAAUACCGGAUAAUAUAUUGAACCGCAUGGUUCAAUAGUGAAAGACGGUUUUGCUGUCACUUAUAGAUGGAUCCGCGCCGCAUUAGCUAGUUGGUAAGGUAACGGCUUACCAAGGCGACGAUGCGUAGCCGACCUGAGAGGGUGAUCGGCCACACUGGAACUGGAACACGGUCCAGACUCCUGCGGGAGGCAGCAGUAGGGAAUCUUCCGCAAUGGGCGAAAGCCUGGCGGAGCAACGCCGCGUGAGUGAUGAAGGUCUUCGGAUCGUAAAACUCUGUUAUUAGGGAAGAACAAAUGUGUAAGUAACUAUGCACGUCUUGACGGUACCUAAUCAGAAAGCCACGGCUAACUACGUG
rnacentral:rRNA from 1 species